UACGGGGGGGCAAGCGUUGUUCGGAAUUACUGGGCGUAAAGGGUUUUUAGGUGGCCCGCUAAGUCACACGUGAAAUCCCUCAGCUUAACUGGGGAACUGCGUGUGAGACUGGCAGGCUCGAGGGCAGGAGAGGAACGCGGAAUUCCAGGUGUAGCGGUGAAAUGCGUAGAUAUCUGGAGGAACACCGGUGGCGAAGGCGGCGUUCUGGACUGUCUCUGACACUGAAGAACGAAAGCCAGGGGAGCAAACGGG
rnacentral:rRNA from 1 species